rnacentral:rRNA from 1 species
AUUGAACGCUGGCGGCAUGCCUUACACAUGCAAGUCGAACGGCAGCACGGGAGCAAUCCUGGUGGCGAGUGGCGAACGGGUGAGUAAUAUAUCGGAACGUGCCCAGUCGUGGGGGAUAACGUAGCGAAAGCUACGCUAAUACCGCAUACGAUCUAUGGAUGAAAGCGGGGGAUCGCAAGACCUCGCGCGAUUGGAGCGGCCGAUAUCAGAUUAGGUAGUUGGUGAGGUAAAGGCUCACCAAGCCGACGAUCUGUAGCUGGUCUGAGAGGACGACCAGCCACACUGGGACUGAGACACGGCCCAGACUCCUACGGGAGGCAGCAGUGGGGGAAUUUUUGGGACAAUGGGCGCAAGCCUGAUCCAGCAAUGCCGCGUGCAGGAUGAAGGCCUUCGGGUUG